GGAUAUGAGGGUGACCUGGCUGCGACAUCUGUCACUCCAUUCAGUGUUGAUUCAGCUGAUCUGGCUGGCUAGGCAGGUGGCCCCUUCCUCCUCACCACUCCAUGUGCAUCCCUCCCGAAGCUCUGCACUUGGUUGAAGAGAAUGACCAUCCCCGAUAGAGGAGGACAGGUCUUCGGUGAAGGGUAUAUGAGUAGCUGCGCUUCCCUGCUAGAACCUCCAAACAACCUCUCAAGAAUAGAAAAAGAUAUAAUAAAGGGAGGAUAAUUUUUUUAAAAAAAAGACAACACUUAAUAAUACAUGUUUAAUA
rnacentral:snRNA from 1 species